UUGCUUACUUCAGCAGCACAUACACUAAAAACUAGACUGAUACAGAGAUUAGCAUGGCCCCUGCACAAGGGUGACACAGAAAUUUGUGAAGGGUUCCAUAUUAAA